UUGAUAUGCGGGCGGAGGGGUGGGUCGUUGUGUCCACACAAAACCAAAAACCGGCGAGACAUUCGCCAAGGAAAUCUUAGCGGAAAAAGAGGGUUGUCCCGUCCGCGGUGGCAGCCUUCAGAAUCCGAUACUCAAACGACUCUCGGCAACGGAUAUCUCGGCUCUUGCAUCGAUGAAGAACGUAGCGAAAUGCGAUACUUGGUGUGAAUUGCAGAAUCCCGUGAACCAUCGAGUCUUUGAACGCAAGUUGCGCCCGAGGCCAUUAGGUCGAGGGCACGUCUGCCUGGGCGUCACACACAGCGUCGCACCCCGUCAACCACGUUGUAGGGGAGCGGAGAUUGGCCCCCCGGGCCCCUGUGGGCACGGUCGGCACAAAUGUUUGUCCCCGGCGGCGAGCGUCGCGGUCAGUGGUGGUUGUAUCUCUCAUCCUCCAAAGACAUCAAGACGCAUCGUCCUCGUUGCACGUUGGGACACAUCGACCCCAAGGAGCCGCUUCGCGCGGCAUUCACCCUGCNACCCCAGGUCNGGNGGGAUCACCCGCUGAGUUUAA
rnacentral:rRNA from 1 species